rnacentral:tRNA from 1 species
GGGACGUUAGCUCAGUUGGUAGAGCACAGUGUUCACAUCGCUGGGGUCGCUGGUUCGAGUCCAGCACGUCCCACCA